UGCUGCUUCUGCUUCAACUAACUUGUUAAAGUCCUCCAUCAGGUCAGUGGUUGAUGCGGCACUUUGGAGAAGAAAAGCUUGUCCGAGUCAGUUAUCACUUUGCAGUUGCAAUAGAAAAUACUCAGGAAACAACAACAAUGUGGAUAACCAUCUGGUGUGCCAGUACAAAUGGAAGCAAAAAUAUCUCUUUGGUUGAAAGAUGUGGCUUGACAGGUACGUACACUACACCAAUUUUAUUGAAAACAAAUGUUGCAUCAAGUUGGAGGUGGGAGGGGGAGUAUGUAGAUCCGACGGUGCAAGUAAAGUGACCUUUGGAAUUGUAGGGGAGCCAGUUUUAUCUAGAUGAUAAUUAAAACGGUGUAGUAUUUGUAUCUCUUGUGUGCAAUAAUUAAGCAAUCAAUAUAUCCCGAACAUAUACGGAUUUUUGCAUCAAAUCCAUUUUGAAUUGGUCAGUGGGUCCUAGCAAAAUGUUUAAGAAGAAUGAUUGGUUCCAUGUGAUGUUGUGUUAGGACAAGUGACAAGGAUCCCAUGUACUACUUUCUCUGUAAGCCAAAUGUAAAAUCAUUAAAUUAAGGGUGGAAUCAUCAUCAGAUUGGACUAAAUUAACCAUUAAAUCCAUAAGUUCCCGACUUUAAUUCUCUACUGAAAAGUCUUU